rnacentral:rRNA from 1 species
UAAAUUGCCGUGGUAUUUUGACCAUGCUAAGGUAGCAUAAUCAUUUGGUUUUUAAUUGAGAUCUGGAAUGAAGGGUUGAACGAGAGCUAUGCUUUAUUAUUAUAUAGGAGAAAAUUUUCUUUUUAGGUGAAGAAUCCUAAAUAAGGUAAGAGGACAAGAAGACCCUAUCGAGCUUUAUUUAUUCUAAUAUUAGUUUUAUGAGUAUAAUUUGGUUGGGGCAACCAAGGAAAUAACUUCUUUUUUUGAGUGAAAGGCGAUUAUUAUAAUACUGAGUGGAAAGUUACCGUAGGGAUAACAGCAUAAUUUUUUUUUAGAGAUCUGAUCGAAAGAGAAGUUUGUGACCUCGAUGUUGGAUUAAGAUUUCCUUAGGGAGCAAAAAAUCUAAAGGGUUGGUCUGUUCGACCAAUAAAAUCUUAC